GUGGCAGACUCUUGCCCUGGUCUCAGAUUCCCGGCCCUGGCCCCCGGCCUGAUUUACUCCUGUAGCUCCGCCUGACUAGUGACACCGCCUCUGCUCAGCUCCCAUAUCACCUCCUUGAUGACAUCUCAGGUCCCAGGCACAGGGAUCAAACUCUGGACCUUGUGCUUGCGAGGCAGGAGCUGGAACCACUGAGGUUAAGGAAGUGAAUCACAAGCUAUAUAAAAUUGAGGUAAACUGGAAAACUCAAAGGAAAGUACUGUAUCUACUCCCAGCCGCCCAGAACAAAAGAUCACAUUAAAAAAUCCAUGGUGUGAAUUCCCUCCUUGGGCCAGAAGGGAGGAAGA
rnacentral:lncRNA from 1 species